UGGUGGCGCAUCUGACACUCGCUGAGGGACUUGCAGAGGGCCGCAGAGCGCUGUCGAUCUGCCGCGCAUAGAAGGCUGCGAGGACGCUUCUCCAUCUUUUUUGCUUUCUUUUCAGCUUGUGUGUACCCUGGCAACGCCUCACUUGCCGUGUAGCCCGCCCCCACACGACGAUGCGUAAGCGGGCGCGCGAUGAUGGUGGCGGUCUAGGGCCAUCCACGUCGGCGAACGGGGAGAUGGAGUCCGCCACAGACGGUGCAGCUAACGGCGGUGCCUCGUUCGAGAGGCUGAGCGGUCCUCUCGACGAGGAUUCCUCUUUUCCCAGCAGCGCUACCGCGGCUACUUCCUCCGACUCCGAUGACUCAGAAGACGAUGAUGCAUCAAAGCGUCUUCUGUUGUACGCGAAGGUGACGGCAGGCGCGAAGGCACAAACGGGAGAUGCAACUUUUGCCACAGCGCGAAAUGACCCCGCCGCGUUUCUUCGUGGGGUGGGGAGCAGCUCCAGAUUCACGCCUGCUAGUGCUGCCGCGGCGGCGCUGAAUCACCUGAAAGCGGAGCUGCUGAAGCCAGUGGCGCAGCCGACGGCUUUGACCGUGGUGAAUGCGGGGGACGAAUCCGCUGAUGUUCUUGCCGGCAUCAUCUCGCGAAAGAUACCGCCGCCGCCAGCGGGGGAUGCAAAGAAGCUGCGUCAGCUGACGUACGUGGACCACAGCCAGAUGAACUACGCCUCCAUUCGCACAGACUUCUACGUGGUGCCGCCGGACAUGACGAAUCUCACAGCGCAGGAGAUGCGAGAACUGCUGCGAGAGCUGGAUGGGGCAAAGGUUCACGGGAAAGAUGUGCCGCGGCCGAUUCGCUCCUGGCAUGGCACCGGAUUGCCGGAUCGCGUGUUGGAGGUGCUGGAGGAGCACGAGUACAAGUGCCCUUUUGCGGUGCAGUCGCUCGGCGUGCCGGCGCUGAUGAGCGGACGGGAUUUGCUCCUCACAGCAAAGACGGGGUCCGGCAAAACGCUCUGCUAUGCGCUGCCGCUCAUCCGGCACUGCGCGGACCAGCCGCGGUGUGAAAAGGGCGAGGGCCCUAUAGGGCUGGUGCUUGUGCCCACGCAGGAGCUCGCUAUGCAGGUAUUCACGCUUCUCGACGAGUUGGGGGAGGCUGCUGGGCUGCGCUGUGUCGCCUCGUAUGGCAGCACGUCGCUAUCCGACAAUAUUCGCCAUGCCAAGGCGGGGUGUGAGUUGAUGGUGGCGACGCCCGGCCGGCUGCUAGACCUUCUCACGGUGAAUGGAGGGAAGACGUUGAGCCUAUCGCGCGUCUCCUUCGUCAUUGUUGACGAGGCGGACCGCCUCUUCGACAGCGGCUUCAUGGAGCACGUGGAGGCCUUUCUGAAGAACAUACGCCCUGACCGCGUAACAGGGAUGAUCAGCGCUACGAUGCCAAAGGAGCUGCGCGGGGUAGUAGCGCAACACCUGCGGAACCCUGUUGUCAUUUCCGUCGGCGGAAAACCGACGCCUGCCUCGAACGUCGAGCAGCAGUUCUUCUUUUUCGACGAGGAGGUAUACGACGCGAACAACAUCAAGGCAGACAUGAGCCCACGUCUUGUAAAGUUACUGGCAUUGCUGGGAGACGAGGGCGGUGACGGUCAGAACCUAAUCCUGGUCUUUACUCAGCGGAAGGAGGAGGUAGACGAGUUGCUGGGGCGGCUCACCACGCUGGGCUACGCCAACCGCGUGGCAACACUCUACAGCGGCAUGGACCCCAUCGACCGCGAGUUCGCGCUGGAGCACUUUGUUCCAGGCAAGCAGUUUAUUCUCGUCGCCACCGCAGUUGCAGAGCGCGGCUUGGAUAUUCCCUACCUCGGCCUUGUGAUCAACUACCGGUUGCCCAACCACUACGAGGCGUACGUGCAUCGUAUCGGCCGCACCGGCCGCGCCGGGCGCAGCGGGCGUGCCGUGAGCUUUUUCACUCGUGGCAAGGAUGACGACAUCGCUCCAGAGCUGGUGGAAGGGCUGGAGCGUGCGGAGCAGCGAGUACCAGAGGAGUUGUACGAAGUUGCGGAGAAGGUGCGUGCGCUGCGCAAGUCUGGCGAUGCACGGUACAACAGCGGCUUCUUUCGCGGCUACCGCGACGCGAAGGCGCAGCGCUUCACUGACCGUGACAAGAAGGAGAAGAUGCGCGAGGCUGCCCGCGCGGCCGGGUUAGAGCAGUUUCUCAGCUCCUCCUCCGAGUCCGACUCGGAUGCCUCGAGCGACGAAGAUGCAAACAUCACUGCGGUGCCGGUGCAAUCGAGAGCUCGCGCCGCGUCGGCAGAAGAGGCAGCGGCGAGCUCGAUGGCGCUGACGCUGCACCGUGGUGCGCAAAGCGGCGCGUUGACGUUGUCCGCUGCGCAGGAGGACCGCAUUUCCAAGGCGCUGGCGUUCGCGCAGAAAACAACCACGGCGGCAACGAUGGCGGCGGACGAGGCGACGAUGGUGCGCUUUCAGAGUGAGUACCCCAUUAAUGACUUGCCCGAUGCCGUGCGUGGCAAGCUGCAGAGCGGCGCUUUUAUGCGCUCCAUCGCGGAGGAGACGGAAACAUCAUUGAUCCGAAAGGGCGUGUAUUUCGACCCACGCUACAAGCACUCGCGGCGGAUGAAGGAGGGGGAGAAGCCGCUGUAUUUUCUGAUAGUGGGAAAGUCGAUGGAGGCGGUGCGAGCAGCUCGCAACAAACUCGACGAGGUGAAGGCAGAGCUGCUGAGCAAACAGAAGAAGACGGGAUCCGUGACUGGUGCCACGAUCUAGUUGCUGAGGUAGCCCCCCCCCCCCUUUCUUUCGUUGGGCAUCAGGGCCUGCGUGCUGUUAGCGUGUAAUAUUGGCAAUGGGCGCUCUGAAAUGUCGAGCUUUUUUGGCGCUGAUGGUGCUAUGUGUAGGGUCUGAUACGGUCGCUCUCUUCAUGUGUGCGUAUGUGUACAUGUGCUUGUGUGUCUAGGUUGCCCUCUCUCAGCGUGAGGGCAACGCCCGAGGAGGAAAGUGGUGCGCAGACAUACAUGAGGGGCUCCGCUUUCGCGUCCGCUCGACAGAGGCCGCUCUAGGGAGCCUCGUACCCCUCACACUGAAGCACGCGUUCAUGUUCACCUCUUUGUGAACGCGCCGGCGAAAAGGGCAAGCUCCCCCCCCCCCCCACACACACACACAAACAGAAAGAAAAGCUGUGAGAGGCGACAGCUGCGUCUGCAACAACAAAGAGGGAGACGUCGGGCGACGAGAAGCAGUGAUCGGAGAGCGGUUGCUACCCUUCUCGUAACCUAUCGGUUUUAUGAGUGAGGCUUGAGGGGGGGGGCGGUGCGGUUUUGCCGUCCUGGGAUUUCAUGCACGGAGGUCUAGGGCUCACCCCCUUAAAG
rnacentral:misc_RNA from 1 species